GCAGUUUAUCCAGAGCUCUUGUUAGUCUCUGUAUUGCAAGAGUGGCUUUCUCCUUGGCACUGACAGAUUUUGUUCUAUUUUUUGUAGCCUAUUUAAGUAGAUGAUUGAAUGAGCAACACAACUGGAGUUUUAAUUGCCUUGCAGAUAGCAUUCCUUCACAGAUAACAAUUCUCUUUGAUUGGGGAGCAACCACUGAAGCACUUUCUUCAUCAUUGCCUGCAAUCCUGAUGAGCUCUUCAAGUGAUGAGUUUGGACUGUUCUUUGCUGGUUAGGAGAAGAGUCUCUGUUCCAGUGGCCACCCUUGUUAAGAUUUUUAUCACAAAUGCAAGAAGGGAUCAUGGACCCUUGGUUUUGAUGAUGAGAGCAAGGAGCAGCGAUCCAGCACCUGUCUGGAUAAUGCAGAUACUUUGUAUGUCAAACUAAAUAAUGAUGCCUCAUCAACUAAAAGGUGAACCCAAAUGCAAUUUUCAUCCUCGUGCAGGUAAGCCUUUUUCAAAUUUGGCCGGCUGCUAAAUUACUUUUUAAUCUUUACUUUCAAAAAUACAGAAUCUAUAGCCUGCGUUAGUCGGAGAACUGUUUUUAGGUGUCCUCGAGGUACAAGCAAGAAGCGGUUUGGUCGCUCCUGCACUUCCACUGUGGGUCACAAGAUGGGCAAUCACAGCUACCAGAUCCAUGAGGAGGGAUAUGGAAGUAUUUUUCAAAACCGAAGCAUUCUACAGAUGACACAUUUCUUUUUAAGCAGGAAAUAGUGAGUGAUGGUGUUCUCCUGGGCCUGUGCUUUGCCAGAUGCACGCUGAUCCGUUGGUGGCCAUUGCUCACUAUACCUGUAAAUGGGAAGUGCCACUGGUUUUGGCUUAAAGCGAACAAUUCCACAGCAUGCCUAGUCAGGCACCAGACAGUUGUUGAGGUGAGAAAUUGUUUUAUCACUUUUUGCCUAACUUAAGUCUUCUAUUUUAAGGAGGAACUCCAGUCCUUCUUGUUGUGGAUUCCCAGUUGUGGAUUAGCAGGCCAUUUUCACUAGCAGUGAUUAUUUCAAAAGCAGAUCAAGGGAUGCUGAAACCGUACAUCUUGAAAUGUAAUAGCACAGAAUCAUUUAGGUUGGAAAGACCCUUAAGAUCAUCAAGUCCAACUGUUAACCCAGCACUGUCAUGUGUAUCCUAGGAAGAGUCUUUGGUCUUGCAAAAUAGUACCAGAUAGUUCUGCUCCCCUUUCUAUUUCUUUAGUACAGAUAUGGAUUGGAGAGUUUGAAUUCUUUUUCUCAUCUAACUGGAUAACAGUGUAAAAAAGGCUGAAAACAAACAUCAGUUCAGAAGAUGAUUCAGAUGUAUAAACCACUCAUUCUGAUAAAUCCAUCGAAUGAAGUUCUUUGGAAAAG